AGAACGAACGCUGGCGGCAUGCCUAACACAUGCAAGUCGAACGAGACCUUCGGGUCUAGUGGCGCACGGGUGCGUAACGCGUGGGAAUCUGCCCUUGGGUUCGGAAUAACAGUUGGAAACGACUGCUAAUACCGGAUGAUGACGUAAGUCCAAAGAUUUAUCGCCCAGGGAUGAGCCCGCGUAGGAUUAGCUAGUUGGUGAGGUAAAGGCUCACCAAGGCGACGAUCCUUAGCUGGUCUGAGAGGAUGAUCAGCCACACUGGGACUGAGACACGGCCCAGACUCCUACGGGAGCAGCAGUAGGGAAUAUUGGACAAGUGGGCGAAAGCCUGAUCCAGCAAUGCCGCGUGAGUGA
rnacentral:rRNA from 1 species